rnacentral:rRNA from 1 species
AAUAGAUACCCCGGUAGUCCACGCCGUAAACGAUGAAUGCUAGGUGUUAGGGGUUUCGAUACCCUUGGUGCCGAAGUCAACACAUUAAGCAUUCCGCCUGGGGAGUACGGUCGCAAGACUGAAACUCAAAGGAAUUGACGGGGACCCGCACAAGCAGUGGAGUAUGUGGUUUAAUUCGAAGCAACGCGAAGAACCUUACCAGGUCUUGACAUCCUCUUGAACACGUUUAGAGAUAGCGUGGGCCUUCGGGACAAGAGAGACAGGUGGUGCAUGGUUGUCGUCAGCUCGUGUCGUGAGAUGUUGGGUUAAGUCCCGCAACGAGCGCAACCCUUGAUCUUAGUUGCCAGCAGGUUGUGCUGGGCACUCUAAGGUGACUGCCGGUGACAAACCGGAGGAAGGUGGGGAUGACGUCAAAUCAUCAUGCCCCUUAUGACCUGGGCUACACACGUACUACAAUGGCCGGUACAACGGGAAGCGAAGGAGCGAUCUGGAGCGAAUCUUAUAAAAGCCGGUCUCAGUUCGGAUUGCAGGCUG